GAAAUGUACCUUCACUCUUCUGGCCAAACUGAGAUCACAAUUCUUAGAGAAGCCAACUUUCAAGCCUUCACUCAUCACUACCUUCUUGUUACCUGAUCUUCCUCCAAAGGCUGUGAUGAGAGAGAUACUGAUGAUUCUUUGCUUCUUGCAGGAAAAAGAUCAUGCAUUACAUCAGAGAGCAUAAAGCACCCUCCAAAGGAAAAGAAGAGCCUAAUUAGGACUCAUACUCACCAUGUUGCUGGCACAAAUAUUAAAAUUACUGCUCUUUCAGUAGAAUUUUCAUUCAUGUCCUUAGCUUAAGACAGGGAUGUCAAACUCAGCUGGCCCCAGAAGGCAUGGGGCUGGUCCAUGGGCCAGAUGAAUGGUAUGGGGCCAAUUCCAUUGGCCAGACUGGACUACACCCCCCCACCUCUGCUCACACACCAGAUCCAGCACAUGCAGCUUCCCUCCAGCUGGUCCAGGACCCACAGAACACACAGCACCUGUCCCAGACUGGCCCAGGCAGGUGCCAUGCACAGUGCAGGUCCCAAGCUGGCUGAAACAGAUGCCAUGUACAGCGUGAACCCUGAGCUCUAAGCACAAGGCCAGUCCAGUUCAUGCUGCAUGCAG